rnacentral:rRNA from 1 species
CAGCCGUAAACUAUGCGCGUUAGGUGUACUGGUGACCACGAGUCACCGGGGUGCCGAAGGGAAACCGUGAAACGUGCCGCCUGGGAAGUACGGUCGCAAGGCUGAAACUUAAAGGAAUUGGCGGGGGAGCACCGCAACGGGAGGAGCGUGCGGUUUAAUUGGAUUCAACGCCGAAAACUCACCAGCAGCGACUGUUACAUGAAAGUCAGGUUGAUGACCUUACUAGAUUUUCAGAGAGGAGGUGCAUGGCGUAGACGUCU